CAAUAGCGUAUAUUAAAGUUGUUGCGGUUAAAAAGCUCGUAGUUGGAUUUCUGCCGAGGACGACCGGUCCGCCCUCUGGGUGAGUAUCUGGCUCGGCCUGGGCAUCUUCUUGGAGAACGUAUCUGCACUUGACUGUGUGGUGCGGUAUCCAGGACUUUUACUUUGAGGAAAUUAGAGUGUUCAAAGCAGGCCUUCGCUGUGAAUACAUUAGCAUGGAAUAAUAAGAUAGGACUGUAGUGCUAUUUUGUUGGUUUGCGUACUAUGGUAAUGAUUAAUAGGGAUAGUUGGGGGUAUUCAUAUUCAAUUGUCAGAGGUGAAAUUCUUGGAUUUAUGGAAGAUGAACUACUGCGAAAGCAUUUACCAAGGAUGUUUUCAUUAAUCAAGAACGAAAGUUAGGGGAUCGAAGACGAUCAGAUACCAU
rnacentral:rRNA from 1 species